rnacentral:lncRNA from 1 species
CCCCAUCGCACAUGGUUUUUAUCAUCAAUUGCGAAAGCCUUAAUAUUAGUUUGCCAUACGUUUUUCAUGAAGACAUCAAUAUUCAUUUUAAACACGUCACAGUUCUCUCGCCGCUAUCAGAACCCUACUCCUCGUUGCUAGCGAACUACAAAACGGACGAUCCCUCUGCCAGCACGUUAAUGCCUACGUUGCCGAGGAAACUAAUGCGUGCUGAAUCCGAGUAUUCUAAGGAAGCCGAACGGUAUCCGGUGAGGUGAUAAACUUUUUGGCCGGAGCUGUACAUGAACUCCGGCGCCGCCAUCUUGUACAGUCAUGCGCAGAACGAUCGUUGUGCGACACAAUAAAAC